GCCUCCGUAGGCUAAUGGAUAGACCGUCGGUCUUCGGAACCGAACGUAGUGGUUCGAUUCCACUCGGAGGCA
rnacentral:tRNA from 1 species